AGUGAACGCUGGCGGUAGGCCUAACACAUGCAAGUCGAACGGAAGCACAGUAAGAGCUUGCUCUUCCGGGUGGCGAGUGGCGGACGGGUGAGGAAUACAUCGGAAUCUACUCUUUCGUGGGGGAUAACGUAGGGAAACUUACGCUAAUACCGCAUACGCCCUACGGGUGAAAGCAGGGGAACUUCGGACCUUGCGCGAUUGAAUGAGCCGAUGUCGGAUUAGCUAGUUGGCGGGGUAAUGGCCCACCAAGGCGACGAUCCGUAGCUGGACGGAGAGGAUGAUCGGCCGCACUGGAGCUGAGACACGGUCCAGGCGCCUACGAGAGGCAGCAGUGGGGAAUGUUGGGCAGUGGGCGCAAGCCUGAUCCAGCCGGACCGCGUGGGUGAAGGAGGCCUUCGGGUUGUGAAGCCCUUUUGUGGGGAAAGAAAAGCAUCAGGUUAAUACCCCGCUGUUCUGACGGUACCCAGAGAAUAAGCACCGGCUAACUUCGUG
rnacentral:rRNA from 1 species